GCAGAAUUCAGUGAAUCAUCGAAUCUUUGAACGCACCUUGCGCCCCUUGGUAUUCCGAGGGGCACACCCGUUUGAGCGUCGUGAAAAUCUCAACCUCCUUUGUUUCUUCCGGGGACCAAAGGAGGCUUGGACUUUGGAGGUUUUUGCUGGCGUCUUUGGAAGGCCAGCUCCUCUUAAAUGAAUUAGCGGGGUCCUCUUUGCCGAUCCUUGACAUGUGAUAAGAUGCUUCCGUGUCUCGGUUUCUGGCUCUGUUGCCUUUGGGACCCGCUUCUAACCGUCUUGACCUUGCGUCGAGACAAUGUUCGAGCUUGUCUCCCUUCUCGGGAAACCCUCUCGACCCCACGAACCCUUGGCCUCAAAUCGGGUGAGACUACCCGCUGAACUUAAGCAUAUCAAUAAGCGGAGGAAAAGAAACUAACCAGGAUUCCCCUAGUAACUGCGAGUGAAGCCGGAAAAGCUCAAAUUUAAAAUCUGGCGUCCUUCGGCCGUCCGAGUGUAAUUCAGA
rnacentral:rRNA from 1 species